rnacentral:rRNA from 1 species
UACGGAGGGUGCGAGCGUUGUCCGGAAUCACUGGGCGUAAAGGGUGCGUAGGCGGGUCUUUAAGUCAGGGGUGAAAUCCUGGAGCUCAACUCCAGAACUGCCUUUGAUACUGAGGAUCUUGAGUACGGGAGAGGUGAGUGGAACUGCGAGUGUAGAGGUGAAAUUCGUAGAUAUUCGCAAGAACACCAGUGGCGAAGGCGGCUCACUGGCCCGGUACUGACGCUGAGGCACGAAAGCGUGGGGAGCAAACAGG